CGUGAAAACUGAAACCAAAGGAAUUAUAUAGGCCUGCUUUGUGUGUGUUUUCCCACUUUAAGCUUGUUUUCAGUACACAUACUCUUGCUUUAAACCUGAUUGGAUUGUGGCGAGCAGACAUCUGUUCAAAGGAGGGGUAGCGACCACCACAGUACUUUUGAAGGGGGCUUGGUAAUGUGGAAAUAUUUUAAGUGCUCUCUCCGAACACUGAUUUGCUGUCUCGGUUCAGGCAAGUUACUUUCUGAAGUACAAUUUUUAUCUGGAAAAUGUUUUGAUGUAGUCAGUAAAUGAUCCUUGUAAAGUAAUUUUCCAUUCCAGAAUUAAAGAUGCAUUAUAAUUUAUUAUGCAGAUGUUAGUGGUCAAAAAUUACUUUUGCAGAUAGUUAUUUCACGUAGAGACCCACCCAGCUUGAUUUAAAUUUCUUCGCACUGACCUAUAACCAUCAGCCUUGACACUUCCACUUUCAGGUUCAGACUCUGAAUUUAAGGAAAUUAAAAAUGGCUUUAUGCUUUUUUCUUAAUUUUUCUCUUUUUAAAUAUUUCCCCCCAAAUAACAGCAGAAACAAAAAUUCAUUACACGUUAAUACAAGUGACAUACUAGGUAAGAAUGACAUUGUUUUGCAUUUCUUCAAGUCUUUUAAAUGUCUGGUUUAAUAGAAGAUACUUAGAUUCUUAAGUCUACUGCAUUAAGUCUGUUGUGGUAUCACACCAUGUAACCUUUGGAAAACUCCCAAAACUCCAUUGUAUGUUCAUUUUUUUUUUAAUUUUUUUUAAUUUUUUUUUUUUUUUAAACUGAGAUUUGUCAUUUCCAUCCUCUCCCCAUACAAGUCAAAUAGGGUAAUACAAGACACAUUUAAAAAAUAUGGAUAGGAGCGUUGAUUUCUAUACUUUUUUCUUGCACUCUUUUUUCAGUUUGGGAUUUAGUUGCAUAAACAGUAUGAAAAGUAAGGAUUGUGUAAUCUGCAUAUGAUCCUGGAGUCUCAGGAACAUUUGCAAAUAUUUUAAGUGACUAAACUUAAUUUUUAUUUCCACAACUUAAUUAUGUAUGCAAGUAAAAUGUGAAUUUCAUAUUAGAUGUGCUUGUGAAAACUAGUGUGUAAAAGCAGUAUUUGAAGAUAGGACACUGUCAAAGCACUGCAGGAGCUCCAGAUUUAAAAGGAAUCCUGCAGUGAAACAUUUGGUCAAACAACACUUUAGUAACGCAUAUACAUACCUUUAGAGUUAACUCUCCUAACUUAGAGUUUGAGUUCUCUCUUUCAGUCAAUCUGGGUAUUUUAGGUUGGAGGCCAGUUAUACUGUAAAUGUGUGAAAAUGUUAAGGCCAUACUUUGGAUUAAUGGUUUUGAAAUGAAGCUAAAUUCAUUUCCAGUUGUUUCUGUGAACUCUACUUUGAUUCUCUCAGACUAGUUCUCUACUGUUCCAUCAACAGGAAGCAUCUGGUCAUUCUUGACAUAAUUGUUUGAAAAUGCCAGGUAUAUUUUUGAUGUUUGCUAUGUAAAUGAAAAUAAAUAUCAGAUUGGUUCUUGGUUAAUUUUACUUGUCUCCCUUUGACCCAGCAACUCUGAGAUUUAUUUAUGAUGGACCUCAUCUUUAGAAUGCCCCCCUCCUUUUUCCCCCUGUCUUGAGUACCUCCUAAGUUAGGAAUAGUAACAGGUAAAGCAAAUAAGUCAGGAAUUCAGAAGUCAUUACAUGAAAUUUUGAAUCAUGAAUUUAUUUUGAGGGUGUAUUUUUGAGGGUGCAAGUUCCCUUUGCAAGUAGCCUGAGUGUGGGUGAAUUCACUGAUGGGUCCAUCUCCUCCCUCUCUCAUAAACGUUAAAAAGCAAAGGGAAACAAAACCUUAAAAGAUGAGGGUGACUUAGUUUUCUAAUGACUAUCAUUUCUUUGGCCCCAGAGCUUUCCAACUAGUAAUCGUAGGUUUCUAUAGUAUGAUGUCUCUAUCUUGGUAUUACACUAUUUUGAAGGUGUUUGUUCCAUCAUGCUUCCUAGAAGGUCUGUCUACUAGUAUUAAGGACUGUGUUUCCCCACUGUGUGGACGACAGUGCUUUGCAUAGAGAAGAUGUGUUGGUGCAGUUGCCUGUCAGUUCAGUUGUUGGUGGGCUAGUAUAUUUUCAUUUAGGCUAAGUACGUCCAUGAGGUUAAGUGUAGAGGCUAAAGCGUGAAAUGAUUUCUCUACUGAAGGUAAAUCAUAUGUAGAGCCGUUGAUAUAUUUAGAAAUAGGAAUUUGAAACUCUUUGUCCUGGUUCUCUUACAUUUUAAUGGGAAUAGUUGGAAAGGCAGGCAGAUAGGGCCCAAGACGCUAAAGCACAAAUACAGAAUGUGCAAAAGACUCGAUCAUUUUAACUGUACAUUUAAUGUGAAUCAACGCUAUGGUAUAAUUUUUUAAAAAGUAAAUGUCAUUUUUGAAUUUGGUAGAACAACAUAGAACAGGUAUUGGGGCGCGUGGUGGCUCAGUCGGUUAAGCGUUUGACUUUUCAUCUCGGCUCAGGUCAUAACCUGAGGGUUGUGAGAUGGAGCCACCGGUCUGGCUCUGUGCUCAUCAUGGAGUUGGCUUGAGAUUCUCCUCCUCCCUCUGCCGCUCCUGCACCCUUGCUUGCGCUCUCUCUCUCUCUCUGGAAAGAAAGAGCAGGUAUUAGCCACACUUUACUUUGUACUUGUAUUAUACCUGGGAUACUUAUAGUGUGUCAGCUUUUUAGGUAGCAUACUGUCACAUUAUGAGUGGGCCCUUAGAUCAGUUCUCAGACUUUAUAUCAGAAUCACCUGCAGAGCAAAAACACGGAGCUUAAGUAGGAUAGGACCUGGGCUGCUGUAUUUUUCUCAAGUUCCCCAGGUGAUAGACACCUGUUUGGCUCAAAGAAGAGAAGGAAGCUCAUCUAAGGAAUGAUAGCUAUCUUUAAAUAUUUAGAGGUCUGUCACACAGAAAGAUCAGGUUUGAUCUGACUAGAAAGAACUAGGUAGGAUCAAUGAGUAGUAGUUAGAAGGAGGAUUUCAGCAUUCUUUCAAGAUAAAAUUUCUACAAAACCGUAAAAAUGUAAUGGGUUGUGUGGGUGGUAGGCGCUCUGCUUUCACUGAUAAUGUUCAAGUUAGGGAUUCUAGGGUGCAGAAGUUGAUAUGCUGAAUGAGGAAUUGGGCCAGGUGUCCUAAAGUUCCCUACAAACUUUUGAGACUUUAUGAUAUAUGUCUAGGUUUGCAGGUACAAAAGUAGAAGAGCAAAAGUCAUGAGUGAAACAAGCUGGUUAGCUUAACUGGAUCAUAGUUUUCACCUUCUUGGAUAAAGAGAAAUGAGUAUUAAGUGAGAGAGCUAUUUGAUGAGGGCUUUAAACCCAGCUAUAGGGGCACCUGGGUGGCUCAGUCGGUUAAAUGUCUGCCUUCGGCUCAGGUCAUGAUCCCGGAGUCCCAGGAUCGAGCCCCAUGUCGGGCUCCCUGCUGGGCAGGGAGUCUGCUUCUCUCUCUCUGCCCCUUUCCCGUCCCCCCUGCUCCUUCUCUCUCUCUCGCUCACUCUCUCAAAUAAAGAAAUAAAAUCUAAAAAAAAAAAAAAAUAAACCCAUCUGUAAUUUGGGAGACUCAAAGCCUUAAAAAUGGGCAUAUCUUCUGACAUGGAAACUCUCAUUUAAGGGAAUUUAUCUUGAUGUAAUAAGGAUGUGUGCAGAGAUUUAGCAGUGAGCAUCCUGAUUGCAGUGCUGUUGAUAGUAAAAGCUGUGUAUUAACAUUUGACCCCACUCCCACAUUAAUCAUAUGAAGUAGAUAAUAUUCUCCUCCAUUUUUCAGCAGAGAAAACAGGCGUAGGGAAAUGAGGUAGCUUGCCUAAGGUAGCAGAGUUAGUAUGUGGUAGAGCCAGGACUUGGAUCCAAGCUGUUUGACUCUAGAGUCAGUAACUCUUGAUCACUGUGCCGUACAUAACCUAAAUGUUUCACAGUGAUUGUUAGGAUAUGUAUUCACAGUGGGGUGAACCGUGCCUAGCUGUUAAAAUGAUGUUAGAAGAACGUGAAGACAUGAAGAGAUGUCUUGGUAUAUGUUAAGUAAAAAAAGUAGUUUUAAAAACACAAUUCCAUUUUGGUUAAAAAACAAAUAUACAGUUGAUCCUUGAACAAUAGGGCUUUGAACUGCACGGGUCCACUUAUACACAGGCUUUUUUUUUGACAAAUACAGUAUAGUACUGUAAAUGUAUUUUCUCUUAUGAUUUUCUCAACAUUUCCUGUAGCUUGCUUUACUGUAAGAAUACAGUGUAUAACACACAAAAUAUGUAUUAAUCCACUGUUUAUGUUAUUGGUAAAGCUUCUAGUUGGCAGUAGGCUAUUAAUAGUUAAAUUUCUGGGGAGAGAAAAGUUAUAGUCAAAAUUUUCAACUGUGUGUCUGGGAGUGUGUGGGGUGUCUGUACCCCUCAGCCCUGCAUUGUUCAAGGGAAAAUUGUAUUGACCUCUGGAAGGAUAUGUGCCAAAUUGUUAAGUGGUUAUUUCUGAGUGUAGUUUUAUAAGUGAUUAUUUUCUCUUUGCUUAUCCAAAUUUUCUGACUUCUGCAAUGAAUAUAUAUUUUUGUGUAUUAUUUGUAACUAAAAGCAUAUUAAAAUGUCAUAUUUCAAUAAGAAAUUAAAUAACAAACUGAGGAGCUUGGAUUUUAUACUGUGCAGUUUAUGCACUUUGACUUAGAAAUUGCACAUAAAUGAGAAUUUGUAAGCACAUGAAGUGUUUUGUAUUUUUUUAAGUUUGAUUCCUUACCAUUCUAGAAGUAAUAUGUUAAUUGCAUAGAGAACAGUCGUGGACUCCUACCAUUCUGUCAUAAUCAGUUCUCAAUUUUGUGUUUUCUUCCUCUUAUGUGUAAUAUUUUAAAUGUUGUAUUCAUCUCAGCUUGGUCACUCUCUGGCUUUCCGACAUUAGGCAAUUUACUUUAAUCUCUCUGCCUUAGUUUCCUCCUUUGUAAAAUUGGGAUAAUUAUAAUACCUAUGUUGCGGUGGUUGGGAGGAUUAGAUGAGUUACUGCAUAUAAAGUGAUCAGAACAGUGUCUGACACACAUUUAAUAGCUCAGCAAAUGUUAGCAAUUAUUAUUAUGGGAUCAUAGCCCACUAAAACCCUUGGGUCUAAUAGGUUUUGGAAUUAAGAAUUUUUUGGAUAUAGGCAAAGUAAUAAUGUAACCUUUCAACAGAGUCCAGUCCUCUUCAAACACAUUACUAUUUCUGCAGCAAAACCUAGGAAGGUUUACACCAAAUGGGGUAAAUAAAAGCUAUAAAUAGCUUUAUGUCAGGUAAGGUUUUGCCACCAAAAGAGUUUUUGUGUUUUGGAAUUGAAAUUAAGGAACUUGUAGAAUAUUUAUUUAGCUUUGAGUCCUAUUUUAUUUUAAUGUUUCAACACAUACCUUUUCAUGUUGUUAUAUAGCUUUAUGAUCCAUGAUAAUUUAAAAAUUAAAAAAAUAACAAUGUUCAGUUCUAUUUCCUUUUAUUAUAAAAUAUGCUAAACCUCUGCCAAUAUUGUUGAUUCUGUUACAUAGUGUAGAAUCUUUUCUAGAAGAGGCUUGAGAGUUCCUCUAACCCAGUUAGCUUUCUUUCUGUCUCAUUACACUUGAGGAAUAAGAUAUUUCUUGUUUUUUUCUAUUUUUAAGUUUUUAAUUCCAGUUAACAUACAGUGUGUUACAAUAGUUUUGGGUGUGCAGUAGUAAUUUAAUAGUUCCAUACAUCACCCUGUGCUCAUGAAAACAAAUGCACUCCUUAAUCUGUAUCACUAAUUUAACCCAUCCCCCCAUCCGCCUCUCCUCUGGUAACCAUCAGAUUGUUCUCUAUAAUUAAGAGUCUGGUUCUUGGUUUGUCUCUCUCGCUUUCCCUUCGCUUGCUUGUUUUGUUUCUUAAAUUCCACGUAUGAGUGAAAUCGUAUGGUAUUUGUCUUUCUCUGACUUAUUUCACUUAGUAUUACACUCUUUAGCUCCAUCCAUGUUAUUGCAAAUAGCAAGAUUUCAUUCUUUUUUUUAUGGCUGAGUAAUAUUCCAUUGUGCAUAUACACACACACACAUCUUCUUUAUCCAUUCAUCAAUCGAUGGACACAUGGACAUGGAUACUUCCAUAAUUUGGCUAUUGUAAAUAAUGCUGCAAUAAACAUAGGGGUGCAUAUAUCCUUUUGAAUUAGUGUUUUGUAUUCUUUGGGUAAAUAUGCAGUAGUACCAUUGCUGUAUGGUAACUUGGUUUACUACAGCAGUAAUUCUUUAUAGGAGGUGAGUAGAGGCUACUAUGGUACCUCUCUUUAACGUGCUCUCCCAUUCUGUAGAUGUGGGCACUGAGGUGGAUAUUUAUCCUAAGUCAUAGUAUUAAUUAUAGAACUGAACAUUGGAAUUAGGUCACUUCCUCUCAUGAUAAAAUUAUGGGCUGUGCAGCCCUUCUGAUUCCUGUACUCCUUUGUGUCUAUAGCACUUACCAUGUAUCCAAACAGAGGGAAAAAAUUUAAACAGUGCCUUAGUCCAAGCUGCUAUAAUAAAAAACUGGAGGCUUGGUAGCUUAUAAACAACAGAAACUGAUUUCUCACAAUUCUGAAGGCUAGGAGGUCCACGAUCAAGGUGCAAGCAUAGUUGGGGUCUGGUGAGGACCCUCUUCCAGUUGCAGACUUCUCUGUUGUAUCCUCACAUGGAGGAAGGGGCAUGGGAACUCUCUGGGGUUUCUUUUUAUAAGGGCAUAAAUCUUAAUGAUCCUUCCUCAUGACCUGAUCACCUCCCAAAUAUCCCACCUCCUAAUACCAUCACUUUGGCCAUUAGGAGUUCAACAUACAAAUUUGAGGGGUUGGGGAGAGACACAACAAGCAUUCGGACCAUAGCAAACAGUAUGUUGUUAAAAUGAACUGAAAAAUUUCCCUUACAUCCUAACUGGCUUAGAUGAACUCUUAUAUCUUUGCCCAUGUGAUUACUCCACCUGUGCCUUUAGCCAUUCCUUUCAUAUAGACUCAAUUUCUCUCCCUUCGUUUAUUGCUAUAUGCAUUAGAUGUAGCCUUGACGGAACUUUUGACACCCACCACUUCUUUCAUAUUUACCGUUGUCAAAUCUUUCCACCAUCUAUCUCCUGUUUUUUUUCACAGGUCACAGCAUAUUUAUGGAGGAAGGUGGGUAAUUUAGAAGAUUUCUUGGCCAUUAUGAAUUUAUGCUGAACAGUUCCCAGUGGGCCCUUGCUACUCUUGGCAAUUUUUUUAUUAAUCUCACAUUUUUCUGUUUUCUCAUGUAUCUUCUUCCUCUCUCUCAAAAGAUGCCAUUGAUUUCUACUUAAUUGAAAAAGCAAAUAGAGUACAAGCUUGCUUACAUUUUUUUUUUUUGUCACCACGACAAGUCUAUUCUUUCAUCUUAUUUUGUGAACUGAAUGGAAGGAAGAGGAUUCUUUUGCUUUUCUAGGAAUCUUGCUGCCACACUUACUUUUCCUCUCUGAUCACUCUGAUCGUUAUCUACAAUGGUUGGGUAAUAAUUGUCAUAUUUAAAUAGUAAAGUUUUUGUAAUACAUGUUUCUCUUUUAUUAUUUAUAUCCAUCAGCACAGUUCUUCAGAUUACUCUUUACUGGGUCUCAGUUUGUCCUGAGGCUCUGCAGUGCCUAUUUCCCAUCCUCACUUUGGAGUCUGUUCUUCCAAUCCAUCCUGCAUAUGGCUGCCAGAAUAAUUUUCCUAAAACUUUUUUGAACCCACUGCUUUUAAACCUGAACAGCCGGAGGAGAGAACAUGUGAUAUUGACCUUUGUGCUCUCCAUCAUGCCAAGCAAAGUGAAUUGAACUUGUACUGAAUAAAUGUUUGAGUGGAUCACCGUUUGCUCAAAACGUUGAAUGACUUCCAGUUGUCUGCAGAAUAAAGUCCAAACUCUGCUUUCUAACUUUCAAACCUUUUCAUAUUCUGCUUCUUCAACCUUACUUCAGUCUUGUUUCCUCCGUAAUAUACCAUGCUCAGGCACGACUCCCUGUCUUCUUCCUUUUCCUUUUCCUUGAUAGGCCUGUCACAGACUAUUCAGAAGUGUUUGCUUCGUGCCAGCACUGUCCUGAUCUCUGGGGAUACAGUAGACAGAGUCUCUGUUUUCUUGGGGCUGACAUUCAGGAUGAGGGGGGAGGAAAUGCACAGUAAAUAUCAGGUGGUAACGAGUGGCAUGAAAAGGAAUAAAACUGGAUAACGGGUUGGGAUGGUGGGAGGUGGUUGCUAUUUUAGGUGGUGAGGGAAAGAUCUUUUUGGGUGUCCCGGAAUGAGGGAGUAAACAAUGAAGUUAUAUAAGUGAAGAGCUUUCUGGGCCAAAGAAACGUGUUUUGAAGACCCUGAGGUGGAAGCAUUUUUGGCUUGUUCAAAUAAUUCCCAAGGCUUGUGUACCUCAAGCAGAAUGAAUAAGGGGGAGUAAUAGGUGAGAUUAGAGAGGUCGUGGGGAGCUAGAGUAUGCUCCAAAUAUUGUCUUUCAUUGAACAAGCCUUCCUUGACUACAUCAUUUUGUUGAUUUAAAGCUUCUCUGAACCCAUAUAGCAACAAUGGAAGUAGCUUUCAAGGUAUUUUUUUAUUGUGACCUACAGUAAGAAAUUAUUUUGCAUCAAUAACGUACAUACACAUUGUGUGUGUUUGUAUGUGCAUGUGUAUAACUGGAACAAAGUUUUCAUGAAACAAUAUACCUUUGAUAUAUGCCGAUAUUUUAAAAAAUGUUGACUGUAGCCUACUAAAUGAUUUCACAGUUAAAAACUUAAUACUUAAGGGCGCCUGGGUGGCUCAGUUGGUUAAGCGACUGCUUUCGGCUCAGGUCAUGAUCCUGGAGUCCGGGGAUCGAGUCCCGCAUCGGGCUCCCCGCUCAGCGGGGAGUCUGCUUCUCCCUCUGACUCUCUCUCUCUCAUUCUCUCUCACAAAUAAAUAAAUAAAUAAAUAAAAUCUUAAAAAAAAAAAAAAACUUAAUACUUAAAAAAAAAAAAACUACAGACUGCUUUUAUUAUAAUCCACAUAUUCUUCCAGGUUGUGAAAUAUCUUCAGUUAAAGAUCAUGAUUUCAAUUAUUUUGGUAUAGGUUUUUAAUGUUUACUGCUGAAUAGAGAGGACUUGUUUAAUUUGGCAAAUAGCUGUUGAAUUGGAUACUAGAAACUGCUGAAUACUAAAUACAUAAGAAUAAGAUAAACUCAGCCUGACUUCCUGAGGCUUAUAGGAGAGGAGAGCUUGUAAACAAUUCUGUAACAGAGUGGAAUCCACAUAUUAAUGAAAGUAGGUUCAGGCCACAAUGAGAAAAUAGAGAAAUCAUUAAUUCUUUUUGCUGAAAAGGUCAGCGGGAGCUUGUUGGAGGAGGUAAUGUCUGAACCGAGUUUUGGAGGAAGAAUGUGAGUAUGUGGUGAGGUAACUUGGGGUAAGGAGAAGACUUCUCAGGCAGAAUAACACAUAAAGGAAUGGUAUCACAAAACAGAAUAGUAUGUAGGGGUAAUUAUAGGUAACUGUGUAUUGUUGGAGCAUAAAUGCAAGUGGGAAGUGGUGAGUUGAUGAGGCUUGAGGGAGGCACGGGCCAGAUCCAAAAAGGUCUGAAAUGCAUUGUAGGAAGUUGCUACAUGGGAAGUAGAGAUACCAUCUCUCAAUAAGUCCAAUACAGCCAGUUUUUCCUCAAGUGAUGAAAUACAUUGCUGUUUCCUCAAUUGUGCCCUAGAGAAAGUUGGCUUACAUUUAUGGGCUCUGUUGUACCAAAAAAUGUUUUUUAAACAUUAAACUUUCACCUAUUGCAAUGUUAAGUUUACUCUAGAAGAAGCAUUUGAGAAUUGAGACGUACUGAGGAAAUGGGAGAUUCACAUUUCAGGGUAAUUCUGGGAUCUAUGUUUAUGAAAUAGAAUGGUAGGGGGCCAACUAAAUUAUUUUUCACUUCAAGUUAAAUAUACAUAUGGUUAAAUUCUGUAUUCUGUAGGUGACUGGAAUACAUGAUUGUAUGUUUUAGGAAGAUAUUUUGAUAAAAUAUCAAACCACAGUGUAAGACUUUAUGACAGUGUUCAAAAUAUAUAAAUUUCAAAUAGACUGGGAGGAAUAUUUGCAACACAUAUAACAAAUAAGAAAUAUGUAUGAUGUACUUCUACAAAGAAACAGUGGCAGAAAAACAAGUGAAGUAUACAAACAGGUAGUUUCAGGCAAGGAAACGUAAGUGGCCAACAAAUAUUUGAUAAGUUAUGCAAUCUCAUUAGUAAUUUGAGAGGUACAUAUUAAAGCAGAAAGUUAAUAGAGGCAAAAUUUUAAAAGCUUGCUAAUAUUAAAAUUGGCUAUAUUAUGAGGAAAUAAUAAACAUUAUAAACUGUUGUUGGGAGUAUAAAUUGUUUCGGGGGUGUAAAUUGACAUGGGCAGUUUGUUAGUAUCUAUUAAUUUGAAAUGGUAUUCCCAGCAAAUCUGCCCAUUUUCUGCACUAAAGGAACACUAGUGUAUGUACAUAAGGAGGCACGUACAACUCUGUUAAUUGCAGCAUUUAUGGUAGUAAAAAAACCUGGAAAAAUAAGUUAAACUGGUCACAAUACUAAAAUGACCAAGUAGAUUGGUAUAUCCAUACUAUGGAAUAACAUGUAAUAAUUCGAAGAAAUGAAUAUGACAUAUCUUGAGUACUUAGAGCAGUAUGUACAGUAUGAUACUAUUUAUAUACAUAAGGGAAAAAACCCAGAACAGUGCUGUGUUUUGGAGGGGCAGGUACACAAACAUGCAUGCAAAUGCAAAGAAUAUGGUCUGGUAGGGUAAUCCUGAACUGAUAAUAGUGCUCAUUUCUUGGGUGGUGGAUAGAGAAUUGGGUUUUGGGAGCAGAGAUAGGGAUGAUUAGAGGGAACUGGCUUUUUCAGUAAUCUUUGGAAUUUUAAAAUUAGAAUAUAGUGUAUAUUUACAAAUUCAUUAAAAUAAUAAUGACCAGUUGACAAUAGGAUGGACAAUAGUUGGGGAAGGAAGGAAGCCAGGUAAGGAGGUACUUCAUUAAUAUAGGCAUGAAAAUGCAGUGGCAAAGGCGGUGAGAAGAGGACUAAUUUAUAAAUGGCAUGAGGGUAGUUUCACAAUAUAUAUCAAAAUUAGAAUUGUAUUUACUUUUGUCUCAGCAGUCCUUCAGGGAAUUUAUCCUACAGUUAUAUGAAACAAAAUGAUACAUUUACACAGUUAUUAGUUGCAGUGUUGUAUACAAUAGUGAUAGUGUCCAUCCAUAAUAAACUAAGACCUAUCUACACAGUAGCAUACUAAGCAGCUAUACAGAAAAUUAGGAAGCUGUCUAUGAACUAAUAGGAAAGAUCUCCAGGAUGUGUUAAGAAAAGCAAAUGGAGAACAGUGUAUGUAGUAAUGCUAUCUUUUGGUAAUAAUAGAAAUAGUGGAAGGUUACCCAUGAAACUAGCAAAGGUGAUUACUUGUGUCUGGGGGGAGUGGUAAUAGUGUAAAUGCUUCCACUGAGACUUUUCCGUGUAUGCAUUUCUGGGUUUGGAUUUUUGAGCUAUACAAAACUAUUGCCUAUUGAGAAAAAAGAAUGUAAGAUAAAAAGAGAUGCGAAGUAGACCUUACAGUAUUUGAUGACCAACUGUAUGUAAAGACAGGGAGAGGACAAAGUUAAGGAUAGCUCUCAGGUUUCUAAUUUGGGAGGUAAGAAGGGUGGUAGCAACAUCAGGGAGGAUAGGAGGAAGAUUAAGUUUUGGUAGGUGCAUGGGAAGUUCUGGACGUGCUAAUUGAUGAAUCCUUAGCCCUGUUUAGUGUUUUUGUGUGUGUAGGUAUAUGGGUGUGUAAUUUAUGUGCUUUAGAUAUGGAACUUGAGCUUAUUUUAUUAAUUAAUUAAUUUAUUUAUAAAGAUUUUGAGAGAGUUGGGGCGCCUGGGUGGCUCAGUCAUUAAGCGUCUGCCUUCGGCUCAGGUUAUGAUCCCAGGGUCCUGGGAUCGAGCCCUGCAUCGGGCUCCCUGCUCUGCAGGAAACCUGCUUCUCCCUCUUCUACUCCCCCUGCUUGUGUUCCCUCUCUUGCUGUGUCUCUCUCUGUCAAAUAAAUAAAUAAAAUCUUAAAAAAAAAAAAAAGAUUUUGAGAGAGAGCAUGAGUGAGGUGUAGGGGCAGAGGGAAAGGGAGAAGCAGACUCCCCCCUGAGCAGGGAGCCCAACAUGGGGCUCAAUCUCAGGCGCAUGGCACCCUGGAACUUGAGAUUAUUUUAAACAUGACUGUUAAAUAGUCAUCAAUAGGGGUGCCUGGAUGACUCAGUUGGUUAAGUGUCUGCCUUCUGCUUGGGUCAUGAUCCUAGGGUCCUGGGAUCGAGCCCCACGUUGGGCUCCCUGCUCAGUGGGGAGUCUGCUUCUCUGUCUCCCUCUGCCCCUCCUCCCCAUGUGCGUGGUCUCCCUCUCUCUCUCAAAUAAAAAAUAUAAAAUAGUCAUCAAUAAAUAUUUUUUAUUGAUCACAGCCAUUUAUAGUCUAGGUUUUAUGGAGAACAGCUUUGUAAUGAUGUCAUAAUUUUACAGUUAAAUAGGGACAUUGGUAUACACAGAAUGUACAUAGAGAAAUAAAGAGUGUAUAUCUGAUAAAUACAUAGCUUAUGUGGGGAUCAGGAACUUAAUUUAUUAGCAUGGUUCCAAUUUAAUUACAUCUUUUGGUAACUGAAAUUCAAAGAAAUAAAAAUAGCUUUGUAUAAGGAUGUGAUCUUUAGAGUAGCUGAGAUUAUAUUGUAAUAUUUAAAACAAUAUUAAAACUGGCUUAGAGAAGUUUAUAGUAGAGCAUGAAAAUUAUUUUUUCAUAUAUACUUGUCACUGUAUAUUAUACAAGAUAAGGACGUUUAACCUAAUGGAGGAGUCCCAGCAUUCUGGGUGCUGCCUAAAACAAGCUCUUGCUAUAUAGUUUGGGAUUUAAAAUUUAUUUGAAUGAGUUUUAUUUCAGAAUCUGAUUUUGAGGCCUUAAUGUAUCCAUACAACUUUUACCUGAUUUUUAUUUGGUCUAGAGUAAAAAAAAAAAAAAAAAAAAGGAGGGGAGCACAGAUAAAGCACAUACAUGCCAGGACUUGCAGGUGAAUUUAGUAAAUCUUUUCUAGGUUUAUGUUAAUAAGGAUUUGGGUGUGGAAUAGCAAUAAAAUAAAGCUGUUAAGUAAUUCUUGCUGGAGAUUUAAAAUUUUAACCAUUUCAUAUCUGAAGAAAAGACAUUUUGCUGGCAGUAGCUUUCUUUUAAAAAUUAUAAUAAUGUUAUAUAUAUAAUCCUGUAACAGUUGGAGAUGGUCUUGCUUUAGUGAGGGUGAAACUGUUUUGUCACCUCUAACCUAUGCUUACCCAUUUACCCACUGUCUUUCUCAGUACUACAGUCCUCCGGUGCUUUGGGAAACAUAAUUUGAGAAAUGCUGGUUUGGGGUGGGCUAUAGUUUGGGCUUAGAUAGAUUUUUACCUCUUGUGUAUCUUUGUUGUGUCCAGUUGAGUGAAAGGAUGGUAUAUAAAUUAACUUUAAGAAGCGUUAGUGGUUCUCAGUCAGGGAUAUUUUACCCCUAGGGGACAUUCAGCAAUAUCUAGAGACAUUUUUUUUUGAUGUCAAAAAAUGGGGGACAGGAUGGUGCCACUGGCAUCUAAUGGGUGGAGACCAGGGAUGCUGCCAAUAUCCUACAAUGCAUAGAAAAAUCUCCUAUAACAAAGAAUUGUCAGGCCCGAUAUGGCAGUAGUACUGAAGUAGAGAAAUCUUUAGUUUGCUGAAUACCAACUAUGUGUGCAACACUGUUAUAAAGUACUUAUGGGUGUGAAUGGCACUAAAAGAAAACCUUGUCCAUACCUAUAAGAAACUUAUAAUCUAGCUAAGGCAUCUCAAACUUAUGUCUGUGAGUAAACUCUUUACACCUGACCUACCAUAUCCCACUUUGCCAUCUUAAUUUUGGCACUUUUCACCAAGUUAUUCAGGCCAAAAACCUGGAUGUCAUUUCUGACUCCUCUUUUUCUUGUACCCUGAUAUCUAAUACAUGAGGAAGUUCUGUUAGCUCAACUUCAAAAUAGAUGUUACAUCUGGGUAAUGGUGGGCUAGAGUAUUUAGACCAGUCUCUUUUUGAAAAGAAUUGCAAAUUCUGGAUAAGAUCUAUAAACACCACCUUAAGAGUUUUGAAGAACUGGAAAGAUAAGGGAAUCUGGUAAGCCAAAUUCUGGAAGAAAGCCUAAACCAAGAGAGGUUAGCAGAAUAUCUGGAGAACUGAAGCCACUGUUGGCCUGAGUAUGUUUGCAGAUUUUAAGAAAUUUAGGUUUCUUUUCAUUACACUUGUGGGGAAAGGUGGACAGAAACCAAGAUUCAAAGUCUACCCAACAUGUGGACAUGUGUCUAUACCUGUGGGAGAAGGAUAAAUCAGAGCUAAUCCCUGUUCCCCUUUCAUUGCUUACUUUCCAGCCAAAUAUCAAGGGACUUCAAGGCAAGUGGUCUUGGCACUGAGCAGAGCAGGAAAAAAAAAGAGAAAAGAAAUAAGUCUCUAUAAAGUUAUGGCCAUAGCCUAGCAAGGUAAGGGAAAUUUAAACCAUGACUUAAUUUAGGGCAGUCCCUGAUUUGUCGUGUCCCCUAGGUGCUUGGCAGAAGCAAAUGAAAAUGUUCCCUGGAAGAACACUUCUUCAUUUUAGACAUCUCUACAAAUAAUUUUUUUAAGGACACUGACCAGCACAUAGUCAAAGAUAAGCUGGCAUACAAGGAGACAAAGGAAACAUGAACAGAAACAACAGCAGAAACAGAUAUUCAUAGGCAUCAUAUAUUAGAAUUAAAAGAUACAUGAUAAAACAACCAUGCUUACUGUAUUCACAGAAAUAAAUGGCAAAUUCGGAAGACAGGAAACAUGAAACUACAAAAUAAAAAAGUGGCAUCAUAGAUUUGAAAAUACCAAACCCAACUGCUGGAAAUAAAAAAAUAUGAUAACUGGAUUAAAAACGUAACGAUGCAAUUUACAGCAGAUUGCACAUCAGAAGAAUUAUUGAACUGGAAUAUAGAUCAGACAGAAUUAUCCAGGAUGUAAUUUAGAGGGAAAAAGAUAGAAAAUAUAAGUGACAGUGUAAGAGAUAUGGAGGAUAGAGUAAGAAUGUCUUAAUUGGAAUUCCAGAAGAAGAGGAGAGAGAGAAAAGGGGCAUUUAAAGACAUGAUGGCUGAUAUUUUCCAGAACCAACAAAAGAUAUCAAACCAGGAUACAAGAAUUCUGUAUCCAUAAAUCCAUACCUAGACACAUCAUGAAGAAUAUGCAAAAAACAGUGACAUAGAGAAAAAUCUUAGAAGUAUCUGGAGAAAAAGAAGAUAACCACCAAAGGAGUGAGAAUUAGACAAACGUAGUGACUUUUCAGUAGGAGCAAUGGAAGUCAAAAGAUAGUAAAAAUGAUGCCUGCAAUAUAAAAUGAAAAAAACCUUGCCAACCUAGAAUUUUAUAUCCAGUGAAAAUAUCUUUUAAAAAUGAUGGUGAAAUAAAGAUAUUUUGGAGAAAAACAGUUGUCACCAGCAUCUCACUCGUUAAAGAUAAUUUAAACCAACACUGUUCAGUAGAAGUUUCUGUGAUGAUGGAAGUUCCUUUAUCUGUGCUGUCCAGUAUUGUAGUCAUAAGCCACAUAGGGCUGUUGAGCAGUUGAAAUGUGGCUAGUGUGAUUGAGAUACUGAAGUUUUAAUUAAAUUUAAAUAACCACAUGCACCGUAUUAGUGCAGUUCUGUAGGAUAUACUUUGGGAAGAAUGAAAUUGAUUACCACAUGGAAGGAAAGAAAUGUAUGAAGGGCUGAAAAGUAAAGAAAGUAAUACAUAUUUGGAAAAUGAAAGUGAAUCUUGACUGCAUAUAAUAGUAAGACUCUCUAAUGGAUUAAAAGACAAGGCAAUAGCAGAAGAGGAAUAAGUGGGGGUCUAGGUUUUAAGGUCUUUGUAUUGUCUAGAAGGAGGGUAAGUUUAAAAAAAUCCUUUGUAGGGCGCCUGGGUGGCUCAGUCAUUGGACGUCUGCCUUCGGCUCAGGUCAUGAUCUCAGGGUCCUGGGAUCGAGCCCCACAUUGGGCUCCUUGCUCGGUGGGAAGCCUGCUUCUCCUUUUCCCACUCCCCCUGCUUGUGUUCCCUCUCUCGCUGUCUCUCUCUCUGUCAAAUAAAUAAAAUCUUUAAAAAAAAUUAAAUAAAAAAACCCUUUGUAUGGAAAACUUUAAAUAUGUAAAAGCAAAGAAGAGUGUAAUGAACUCCCCUGUAUUCAUUACCCGGUUUCAACAAUGAUCAACUCAAGACUACAGUGGUUUCUUACAUAUUCCUCAUUAUUUUAAAACAGAUCUCAAGUAUCAAUUAUUUAAUCCAUAAAUAUAUUGUUUUUAUCUCUAAAAAUAUAUAAACUUAAACUAUAAUAUAAUUAUUAUAUCCAGAAAAAAAUAAACAUAAUUCCUUAAUAUCACUACAUAUUUAGGCAGCAUUCACUUUCCUUAAUUAUCUGCAAAAUGACUUUUUUUUUUUAAAUAAAUACAACAUUCACCUUUAUUGAAAUGUCUUAUGGAACCAAAAAAGGGAAGUACUGAACAUCUAACAGCUGGGAACUUUCUCAAGUAUUUCCUUAACUAUCCAAAAUGGUUUUUUUUUUAUUAUGUUAAUCACCAUGUAUUACAUCAUUAGUUUUUGAUGUCAAAAUUUUUUUUUUAACAUUUAUUAUUUUUUUUAAGGCAGUUUUAGGUUCACAGCAAACUUGAGGGGAAAGCACAGAGAUUUCCCAUACACCACCUGCCCCCAUACAUGCAUAACCUCUCCCAUGAUGCUUUUCUUUGGAAUUCUCUCUCCUCUUCUUCUGGAAUUCCAAUUAAGACAUUCUUACUCAUAUCCUCCACCAGAGUGGUACAUUUGUUACAAUUGAUGAACCUACACUGGCACAUUGUAAUCACCCAAAGUCUGUAGUUUACAGUAUGAUUCAUUAUUGGUGUACAUUCUCUGAGUUUGGGCAAAUACAUGAUGACAUGUGUCCAUCAUUAUGGUAUCAUACCAAAUAUUUUCACUGCCCUAAAGAAAGUUUUUAAAAAAUUUACAUUUAGUUUCUUCAAAUUGGAAUCCAAACAGGGUCCACACAUUGUCAUUGGUUGAUGCCUGCUUAGUCUUUUAAAACAAGAUUUUCAUUAACUUUGGACUUUAAUGCAUGGUGUAAUUUCUAGGGAACAUCUACAAGAACAAAAAUAGAGAAUAUAACUUCCAAAUCAGUAAAAGAAAUAGAUAAAAUGUUAAAAAAAGAAUCAGUCCAAAAGAAGGCAAGAGAGAAAAGAACCUGAACAGGUAAGGAAUAGAGAGCACAAAAUUAGAUGCUAGAUUUAAGCUUAGAUAUAUAAUAAUUAAAGAUAAAAAGUCUAAAUGAUUACAUAGGUAUCAUCCUAGCCUAAGGCACUAUCAGCUCUUGCCUGGAAUAAUUUCCCAACUAGUAUUCCUGCCUCAAUUCUUGCUUUCCUCUAUGGACUACCUAUAUAAAACAGGAGUAGUUUUUAAAAAAUAUAAAUCAGAUCUUUCUACCAUCUUGCCAUAAUGGUGCACAUGAAUGUCUUGGCAGAUUCUCUCAAGAGCAUUAACAAUGCCAAAAAGAGAGGCAAACACCAGGUUCUUAUUAGGCCAUGCCCCCAAGUCAUGUCCGGUUUCUAACUGUGAUGAUGAAGCAUGGUUACAUGGGCGAAUUUGAAAUCAUUGGUGAUGACAGAGCUGGGAAAAUUGUUGUGAGCCUCAUGGGUGGGUUAAACAAGUGUGGAGUGAUCAGCCCCAGAUUUGAUGUGCAACUCAAAGAUCUAGAAAAAUGACAGAAUAAUCUGCUCCUAUCCUGCCAGUGUGGUUUCAUUGUACUAAGCUGGCAUCAUGGACCACAAAGAAGCAAGACAAAAACAUGCAGGUCGGAAAAUCCUGGGAUUCUUUUUCUAGGGAUGUAAUACGUAUGUGCAAAUAAAAUGCCUCAAUGGACAAAAUAUACAUACACACACACACACACAUACAUAUAUAACAUAUAAAUCAUAUCACAACACUCUCCUGUUUAAAAUGUUCCAGCAACUUCCUAGUAAGUGAAAUCCAUACUUCUUACUAGUGCCAAAAGCCCUAUGUAAUGUGAUUGCAUAUCCUGCUCUCCUUUUUCCGUAUAGCCCAGGGCCUUAUACUUGCUCUUCCAUCUCCCUGGAUCACCAGGAACAGUCAGAAUUCUUAGUUCUUAAAAAAAAAAGAGGGGGGGUGCUUAAUUCUAAAAACUGGGAACCACGUCUGGUUAAUUUAGCAGAAAAGGAAUUGUCACAGAAGAAACCACUACCACUACUGUCAUUGGAAUCUGCUUCCACUCUUGCCAUAAUGGAUUCUGUGUACUUCCUGCUUUUUUAUGCAGUAUCUUCUAAGUUAAAGUCCAUCAUGGAUGCUUUGUUGGAAGGAGGUCAUAAGACUGUACCCUAGCUGCAUGGGAGGCUGGGAAAGCAAAUACUUAGCUUCAUUAGUAGGUGGAGGUUCUGGUUUCUUUCAGGACUCAUCAGAGGGGAAUUCCUUGGGCAUAUGAAGAUGUUCUGAUGCUGAGCAGCCAAAAGAGUGACCUGUCCUUCAUGAUGCUUUUCUUUGGAAUCCUACCUUGCUCUCCUUUCUCUCUUAAUUCACGUUUCUACUCAAAUGUCUCUCCUCAAAGAGGCCUUUCCCUAGACUUUGUCUAAAAUGGCAAUUCCCCAUCUCUAAUCCAGUAUUCUCUUUUAUUAACCUGCCUUACAUUUUCUUCAUAGCAUUUAUCCUUACCAGUACUACUAUUAUUGAUUGAUUGAUUGAUUGAUUGAUUGCUAUGCUCCCCCCAAGAACACAAGCUCUGUGAGGGUAGGGACUUCUUUUUGUUCACUUUCUGUUGGCACAUAUAUGCUCAGUAAACAUUUGUUUAAUGAAUGAAGGGGAAACAUAGAUUAUGGUAUAAAUCCCUGAGAAAAUUUAAAGGGAAGCAUUAUAGAGGAAUUAGCUCAUUUAAGGAAGGCUUAUUGGAGAAGAGUAAUUUUUGAAAUGGGCUUUGAUUAAAGUAUCAGAUUUGGAGAGAAGAUAUGUAGCCAUCUAAACUGGGCAAAUAGUACGAGGGAGGAAGGUAUUGGGUCUGGAAUAAGGUGAGCACAUAUCGAAUAAGGAAGAAUUGUUUAAAAUCUGAUGGCUGGGGCGCCUGGGUGGCUCAGUCGUUAAGUGUCUGCCUUUGGCUCAGUUCAUGAUCCCAGGGUCCUGGGAUCGAGCCCCGCAUUGGGCUCCCUGCUCGGCGGGAAGCCUGCUUCUCCCUCUCUGACUCCCCCUGCUUGUGUUCCCUCUCUUGCUGUGUCUCUCUCUGUCAAAUGGAUAAAUAAAAUCUUAAAAAAAUAAUAAUAAAAUAAAAUCUGAUGGCUGUUGGGUCCUUUAUGAAGUGGGAGUUGAGAAAAAUGGAUGAGGUGAAGGUGCAAGGUUGGAGCAGUUGAUAGAGGGCCUUGAACUGUAAGGUGGUCUUUGACUUGAUUGCUAGAGAGUAAAAGAUUACUAGUGUUGUGUUUUUUUUUUUUUAAUUAAAAAUAGGCUGGUAUUUUCUCAUAGUACUCUACAGGUAUAAAACAGAAUGAGGUAAAUCUCUAUGGAGAAUUUUCCAGGAUAUAUAUUAAAUGGAAAAAAAAAGUACAGAACAGUGUAUGUAGUAUGCUCUUUUGGUGUAAGAAGUGUGUGCAUGGGAGUAAGAAUACACACACCAAUUUGUUUCUGUUGCAGAAAGAAAAACUGAGAAAGACAGACCAGAAACUAAUAAAAUGGUUACCUUGUGGUGGGGGGAGAGGGUGAGUAGGAAAGGUGUGAAGGAAACAGGAAUGGGAGUGAGAUUUCUGAGUUUAUUUAGUUUUGACUUUUGAAUUAUAUAAAUAUUUCACACAUCAAAAAUUGUAAUUAAAUGAAAAUAAAAAUCUCUAAAAUUGAGAACAAACUUAAACAAAUGAUCCUAUGUGUAUAUCAAAAUAGUUACUUAAACGUGGAGGAAAACACAAUUUCAAGUGACUUUUGAGCUCAAUAUCAAAUGGCAUAUAUGCUAAGGACAAAAAGAACUAAAAGAAAUCUUAAACUUCAUUCGUUUUAUUGCUAGUUGUAAUAUUGGUAUUUUUAUUUUGAUAUCAUUUGGUACCUGUUGUUGGUUAAAGCCAGUAAGUUUUUAUGCUUAUAUGUUAGAAACCAAUAGAAAUACAAGUAUAAAAUCAAAGAAGCUAAGCAAAAAGAAUAUUUAUAAUGAUGAACUUGAAUUACAGAUGUCAGUUUGAAUUCAGGAUUUAAUAUAUAUAUUAAUUCCAUCCAAAUAUAUAUAUUUCUUUCUUAGCUCUGUACACUGAAAGGAUCUAGAAACAGUAUGUUACUUUGGUAGAUGUAUUUGUAUUACCCCGAUUUUGGUCUUUCGGUACUUUCAUUUAGAAUCCAGGGCUCCUUGAAGAAAUGACUGAUUGCAGGACUGGGGCAGGGAACAUACCUAGUGAACCUGGAACAUCUUGUGUCAGAAGCAAGAAAGCUUUCACAGACCCAACUAAAGCCUACCUGAAGAGGCUCUUGUUGGCCGAAAUUGGGACAGUUUGAACAUAAAGGAGAAUAAGGAGAGCAAUUUGAAACCAUAUAUAACAACAAUAAAAAAAACAGACAAAUGGAGAUGGCUGUUAACACCUAUCCUUUACUCUGAAAAUUGGUAAUUUAACAUUUGAACUGCUUUUUUAGUAGAAAUGUAUUACAGUUAGUGAGGAAUGCCAGAUAAUAAAUAUAGAAAGAAUUAUAGAAUUAGAAAGUCACAAUUUGUUACAUCCUUUUAUGAAAUAUUUGACUUGGGCCAGGAUCAUUAAUGGAUGCUAAAAUUGUUAGGCAAAAGGUUCAUUGGGAAUUGGAUAUUUGCAUGGUGCCAAAGUACUCCACAGAGUACUAGUUGGUCUCAGAACAAUAAAACUUUACAGUGGAAGGAUCAGGCUAUUACCAGCCUAGUUAUUAAUCCUAGUAUCACUAAAAAUGAACCAAAAAAAAAUACGUGCUUCCUGAUGUGAUUCAGUAUCAAGUAUAGUGCAUCAACUGAAGGUUUUUUGUGCCAAAUUUAAAAUCUGAAUUUAAUCAAACUUUUCAGACUGACUUUCAGUUUAUAAGAGAUAUGGGAGAUGAAAGAAAUUAAGUACUACCUUGGAUGAAGCAAUCAGAAAAAUACAGAAUGUGAGAUACAGAUGAACUGGCCAUUUAAUGUCAUGGGAAAGGAAAACAAGGGUGGGGUGUGGGGGGAAGGGAAAAUGUCCUAGAAUAUAAUUAAUCUAGAGAUAUAACAACCAAAUGCAGCAUGUGCCAGCUGUAAAGUACAUUUUUUUUUAGAAAGGAGUAGGAUGAAGCAAGAUGGCCAACUUUUAAUUUAGAAUGUGGGUGAUGGGAAUAUGGGUGUGUGUGUUUGUGUAUACACACAUAUAUUCAUUUAUAUGCAUACACAUACACUUUUCUAUAUUUGAAAGAUUUUAUAAUAAAAACUUAAUAUUUUUCUGUUGAUGGACACUUAGGGUUCUUCUUUUUUUUUCUAUUACAAAUAAUGUUUCUGUAAACGUUUCUAUAUGUGUUUCCUCUCUUUGUGUAAGUGUGUGUUAAGGAGAUACGGCAGCUUCCUAGUAGUGGAAUUCCUGGAUCAAAGGGUAGGCAUACUUCAGCUCUACUAGAUACUGAUAAAUUGUUCUUCAAGUGGUUGUACUGAGGAGGAUUUUAGAAAAGGGAAUUAUGAGAUAUAUGUCUUCUCUACUAGGUGAUGAAUUCUUUGAGGGUAGGGACCAUGUAGAGAUUCAUACAGAAAUGUUUGAGUUGAAUGAAAGUGUAUUGUAGUGGGAUUGCCUGGCAGUGGGAUGGAGGAAUUAGAGUUAGGUCAGCCAAAAGGCUAUUGUGAUGUUUAAAGUAUGAGGCAAUGAAUGUGUAAGACUAGAGGUAGUGGAGAGGAAGGGAUGAAUAUGAGAAGGUUUGGAGAGAAAGGAUCAAAGUGUAUGUGUUCUUAUUGUUGGGGAGGAUAUUGAUGAUUCACUGUUAUGGCUUAUAACACCCUGUAGUUUGUUGGCUUCAUUUUAUAGUAAGUAAGUAAGUUAUGCUUCCCUAUUAAUUCAAAACCAUCUACUGGCCUAGUUCCAGCAGAGUUCUAGCCUUGUCUUCAUCUUCUGCUUGUAUUGUUUUUAAGCCUCAGUCUCUUCCUGGGAUAAAUCUGUGUGAUUAGAAGAGAAUAGUCGUUGACUGGGGUAAAGGUGCAGUGGGUUGCAAAGAAGAGAAGAAUUUAUGUAGUAGUAUGGGUAGGAUUUAUGGGUAACUUCAUCACCAAGUGAGUUUUUGAAGUCUUCCAAGGACAAAAGAUACCUUCCUAUAGUUUUUAAAGGGAAAGUCUGUCUAGUGUUAUAACAGGGAUAAUUCAUCAGAUGCAGUUUUUCUUAGAGAAUGUCCGGUAUCUCAUUUUCAAAUGUUGCAACUUUUUGUAAAUUCUAAAGUUGGUGCCUUCAAGAAGUUUUUGUUUAUUUUUUAAAGAUUUUAUUUAUUUAUUUGACAGAGAGAGAGCACAAGCAGGGGGAGUGGCAGGCAGAGGGAGAGGGAGAAGCAGGCUUCCUGCCGAGCAGGGAGCCCUAUGUGGGGCUUGAUCCCAGGAUGCUGGGACCAUGACCCGAGCUGAAGGCAGAUGCUUAACCGACUGAGCCACCCAGGUGCCCCAAGAAGUUUUGAUUAAUGGUUCUCGAAUAGCUCUGUCCAACAGAAAUAUAAUGUGAGCUGCAUAUUUAAAGUUUUAUAGUAGCCACACUUAAAAAAAUUAAUUUUAAUAACAUUUAAGCCCAUAUAUCCAAAAUACUACCAUUUUAACAUGUAAUUGAUAUCAAAGUUGUUAAUGAGAUACUUUACAUUCUUUUUUGAUACUGGUGUGUUACACUUAAAGCAUGGCUCCAUUUGGACUGGCCACAUUUCAGUGCCUAAUAGCAUAGUGCCUGGUAGCUGGUGGCUACUGUAUUGGACAGCUUAGUUCUAGAACAUACUCAGUUGAAACCUUUGAAUUCAGUUUGGUACUGAUUUGACCCACAGUCACUGAGGGUGGCCAUGAGCUGAUCUUGCUUCAUAGACCUGUUGCUGCUUAUUAGAUAAAUUCUGGCUUCCUGUCCACAUUUUUUAUACUAACGUGCAUGUGCAAAAGUGAUUUUGAGGGUCCCAGACAAAGCCAUUAUCCAGAUUUACUGAUUAUGUUCACAAUUUUCCCUUUUGCCUCAGAAAACAUAGAACUGACCUCAGAUUUUUUUGGAUCAACUCUGUCAAUUUGAGUUGCUGCCAAUAAAAAGAAUAUUCAGGCAAGUUCCAAUCUCAUUCAUUUGUAAGGCCUUUAGUUACAACAAGGCUGCUAGGAAUUCAGCGAGCAUUUUAUUAAUUGUGACAUUUCCUAGAAUUUGUGAGGCUGUCAGCUUAAUUUUCAUUUAAAAAGUCAAAUGUUAGAUGACUGGUGGUUAUCCCAAGUAUUUCUGGAGUUUCUGCUGUGUGUCUAGUGUUUAUUUAUUCAGUCAGUGUUUGUUGAGCCAUUUACCAGGUCCCAUAGUUCAGGCACAGUGACAACAUGUAGCCAAGGAAACAGGCACAUGUAGUGUGGUCUGAUAAGUGCCGAGGUAGAGAGAAACUUAAGAUGCUAGAAGAACACACAGGAAGGACACUUCAUUUAAUUGGUGGGGGAUCAGGGAAGGCUUCUCUGAGGAGAUAAGCUGAACUCUGAAGGGCAGGUAGGAAUAAAUAUGGCAAAAGUGGGCAUGGAGAGCAGAACAUUCUUCCCGGCAGAGGGAAUGUUUUGUAUAGAUGCCCGAAGGUGAGAAAAAGGGCUGAGUAUGGCACAUUGUCUGGAAUAUAGAGUUUAGUGUGAGAGGUGGUGAGUGGUAUAAAUGGGGAGACGGUAACAGAUGCCAAAUGUGAAAGGCCUUGAAUCUAAUGGCAAAGAGUUUGACUUUAUCCGAGGUAACUGACAAGGGGCAUGAUUUCUGUUUAAGAAUGACUAAGAAUUUAGUAGUAGAAUGGAGAAUGGAUUAGAGGAAGGCAAGACAGGCACAGAUACUAGUUUAGAGGUGCUCUAGGAGAGAAAGGAUGGAGGCAUGAACAAAGUUUGUGGCAGAGAAGAAAAGACUGUCAGCAUUUAUUUAUUUAUUUAAAAGAUUUUAUUUAUUUAUUCAUGAGAGACAGAGAGGCAGAGGCAGAGGCAGAAGCAGGAUCCCCGUGGAGCAGGGAGUCCAACACAAGGCUGGAUCCCAGCACUCCAGGAUCAUGACCUGAGCUGAAGGCAGAGCCUUAACGGAUUGAGCCACCCAGGUGCCCCUAUUUAUUUAUUUUUGAGAGACAG